AGCACAAAGUUCGACAGUAAACCGGAAGAAGAAGAAAAGGCGAACUUAGCGCGAAAAGGUGGAAGAGCUGAGAAGGUUGUUGAAACAGCGGCUAACUACUGCUAAUGACGAGAUAUUUGAGUAGAAACAAAAAACAUCACAGAGCAGCAAGAAGAAACGAGUGGGUUUAAAGAAGAGAAGAAACUAGUCAACGUGCUGGAUGCUGUUUUCAAGCCUGAAGUUCGCUGAUCCAGAGCAGUCUUUCUACAAACAUGUGUGAAGUCCAGCAGCUGAGGGACAUGUUGAAACUACAGCUAACACCUGCUGAUGAAGGAAUGACCACAGACCAGAUAGAAGAAAUGAGUCAUUUAAAAGAAGAGCACAAAAGAGACAUGCAGCCAUUGUUGUCGAUUAAAGAAGAAAUUCUCCCUAGACACCAGGAAUGGAA